ACAGGCUUAACACAUGCAAGUCGAGGGGAAACGACGGGGAAGCUUGCUUCCUUGGGCGUCGACCGGCGCACGUGUGAGUAACGCGUAUCCAACCUGCCUCUGACUGAGGGAUAACCCGUCGAAAGUCGGCCUAAUACCUCAUGGCAUCGUCUGCGGGCAUCCAACGACGAUUAAAGAUUUCAUCGGUCAGGGAUGGGGAUGCGUCUGAUUAGCUGGUUGGCGGGGUAACGGCCCACCAAGGCUACGAUCAGUAGGGGUUCUGAGAGGAAGGUCCCCCACAUUGGAACUGAGACACGGUCCAGACUCCUACGGGAGGCAGCAGUGAGGAAUAUUGGUCAAUGGGCGAGAGCCUGAACCAGCCAAGUAGCGUGCAGGAAGACGGCCCUAUGGGUUGUAAACUGCUUUUAUGCGGGGAUAAAGUGAGGGACGUGUCCUUCAUUGCAGGUACCGCAUGAAUAAGGACCGGCUAAUUCCGUGCCAGCAGCCGCGGUAAUACGGAAGGUCCUGGCGUUAUCCGGAUUUAUUGGGUUUAAAGGGAGCGUAGGCCGUGGAUUAAGCGUGUUGUGAAAUGCAGGUGCUCAACGUCUGCACUGCAGCGCGAACUGGUCCACUUGAGUGUGCGCAACGCAGGCGGAAUUCGUCGUGUAGCGGUGAAAUGCUUAGAUAUGACGAAGAACUCCGAUUGCGAAGGCAGCUUGCGGGAGCACAACUGACGCUGAAGCUCGAAAGUGCGGGUAUCGAACAGGAUUAGAUACCCUGGUAGUCCGCACGGUAAACGAUGGAUGCCCGUUGUCAGGCUGUUUCAGCCCGGUGACCAAGCGAAAGCAUUGAGCAUCCC
rnacentral:rRNA from 1 species